GACGUAGGGCGCGAGCGUUGUCCGGAUUUAUUGGGCGUAAAGAGCUCGUAGGCGGCUUGUCGCGUCGAAUGUGAAAACUCGGGGCUCAACUCCGAGCUUGCAUUCGAUACGGGCAGGCUAGAGUUCGGUAGGGGAGACUGGAAUUCCCGGUGUAGUGGUGAAAUGCGUAGAUAUCGGGAGGAACACCAGUGGCGAAGGCGACUUCCUGGCCUGUUCUUGACGCUGAGGCGCGAAAGCUAGGGGAGCAAACGGG
rnacentral:rRNA from 1 species